rnacentral:rRNA from 1 species
ACCGAAUAGAUACCCGGGUAGUCCACGCCGUAAACUAUGAACGCUAGCCCGUUGGCGAGCUUGCUCGUCAGUGGCGCAGCUAACGCAUUAAGCGUUCCGCCUGGGGAGUACGGCCGCAAGGUUGAAACUCAAAGAAAUUGACGGGGGCCCGCACAAGCGGUGGAGCAUGUGGUUUAAUUCGACGCAACGCGCAGAACCUUACCAGGGUUUGACAUCCCGAGACCGCUGCUGAAAGGCAGUUUCCCGCAAGGGCUCGGAGACAGGUGCUGCAUGGCUGUCGUCAGUCGUGUCGUGAGAUGUUGGGUUAAGUCCCGCAACGAGCGCAACCCUCGCCUUUAGUUGCCAUCAUUAAGUUGGGCACUCUAGAGGGACCGCCGGCGACAAGCCGGAGGAAGGUGGGGAGUGACGUCAAGUCCUCAUGGCCCUUACACCCUGGGCUACACACGUGCUACAAUGGCGGUGACAGUGAGCAGCUAACUCGCGAGAGUAUGCUAAUCUACCAAAAACCGUACCCGACGUUCAGAUUGCACU